rnacentral:rRNA from 1 species
CCUACGGGAGGCAGCAGUGGGGAAUAUUGGACAAUGGGGGAAACCCUGAUCCAGCAACGCCGCGUGAGUGAAGAAGUAUUUCGGUAUGUAAAGCUCUAUCAGCAGGGAAGAAAAUGACGGUACCUGACUAAGAAGCCCCGGCUAACUACGUGCCAGCAGCCGCGGUAAU